rnacentral:rRNA from 1 species
UGGGGAAUAUUGGACAAUGGGCGAAAGCCUGAUCCAGCCAUGCCGCGUGUGUGAAGAAGGUCUUCGGAUUGUAAAGCACUUUAAGUUGGGAGGAAGGGCAGUAAGCGAAUACCUUGCUGUUUUGACGUUACCGACAGAAUAAGCACCGGCUAACUCUGUGCCAGCAGCCGCGGUAAUACAGAGGGUGCAAGCGUUAAUCGGAAUUACUGGGCGUAAAGCGCGCGUAGGUGGUUCGUUAAGUUGAAUGUGAAAGCCCCGGGCUCAACCUGGGAAGUGCAUCCAAAACUGGCGAGCUAGAGUAGGGCAGAGGGUGGUGGAAUUUCCUGUGUAGCGGUGAAAUGCGUAGAUAUAGGAAGGAACACCAGUGGCGAGGGCGGCCACCUGGGCUCAUACUGACACUGAGGUGCGAAAGCGUGGGGAGCAAACAGG